rnacentral:lncRNA from 1 species
UUGGCGUCGACGUUGUUUGAAGGUUUUCGGUCGUUGCCGUGUUGAUUUGCUUUUUUUGUUCGCGACCGUAGUUCUUUCCGAGGCCGUUUGAGUUUGACGCUUCCUCCCGGUGCUCGAGCUUGGAGAUCCGAACUUCUCGUUACUUUGAGGAAGUCGAUAUCUUCUCGGCCUGUGUCGAGUGCUCUUUUAGUGACUGAGGGUUUUUUGAUAGGAGUAUCCCUCCUCGUUGAGGCGAGGUCCCUUGUGUCUUUGACAUAGUUUGUUUUGCAUUUAUCGCUGGUGUAGUUCGUCGCUUUUCUUUUUCAUCUUCCCCUAUCUCUUUUUUUUUGUGUUCGAGUGAGGGUUUUUCCUCUGCUCUUAACGAGGUCGUGGGAGUGUAAAGGAGCCGUUGAGGAGGAUUUCCUCCUCGUCCGAUCUUGAUCAACCGGAUUUUUAUUUGUGUCAAGACGAGGUUCUCCUCUUGUUCCCAAUACAAUCAAAUUCAACUCAUGUUAGGACGAGGUUCUCCUGUUCCUAACAAGGCUGUGGGGGCACAUAAGGGCCGUUGUAAGAACCUCUCUCCCCAUCUGGUCUUAAAUAAUCGGGCCUUCAACUUUGCUCAUGUUAGGACGAGGUUCUCCUCCUGUUCCCGACAAGGCUGUAGGGGCACAUAAGGGCCGUUGUAAGGGCAUCUUCCCCCAUCCGGACUUAAAUAACCGGGCCUUCAACUUUGCUCAUGUUAGGACGAGGUUCUCCUCUUAUUCCUAACAAGGCUGUGGGGGCACAUAAGGGCCGUUGUAAGGACCUCUCUCCCCGUCCGGUCUUAAAUAACCGGGCCUUCGACUUUGCUCAUGUUAGGACGAGGUUCUCCUCCUGUUCCUAACAAAGCUGUGGGGGCACAUAAAGGCCAUUGUAAAGGCCUCUCCCCCCAUCCGGUCUUAAAUAACCAGACCUUUGACUCUACUCAUGUUAGGACGAAGUUCUCCUCCUGUUCCUAAUAUGCUUAAUUUCGAUUGUCGAAAGGAACUGCUCCCUGUCGUUAUGAGCUAAAGCCAAAAAGAAGAUAUACAAAUAUGAAAAAAACUUUUAUUUGAGGCAAAGUUAUUGGUAGUACAUUCGUAGAUUUUUCGAAUCUCAUGGUCGUGGAAGGUCUGCCCCCCGUCGGGGUCC